GUCGGGAAUUUUGCGCAAUGGAGGAAACUCUGACGCAGUGACGCCGCGUAUAGGAAGAAGGUUUUCGGAUUGUAAACUAUUGUCGUUAGGGAAGAAAUUUGACAGUACCUAAGGAGGAAGCUCCGGCUAACUAUGUGCCAGCAGCCGCGGUAAUACAUAGGGAGCAAGCGUUAUCCGGAUUUAUUGGGUGUAAAGGGUGCGUAGACGGGAAUACAAGUUAGUUGUGAAAUCCCUCGGCUUAACUGAGGAACUGCAACUAAAACUAUAUUUCUUGAGUGUUGGAGAGGAAAGUGGAAUUCCUAGUGUAGCGGUGAAAUGCGUAGAUAUUAGGAGGAACACCAGUGGCGAAGGCGACUUUCUGGACGAUAACUGACGUUGAGGCACGAAAGUGUGGGGAGCAAACAGG
rnacentral:rRNA from 1 species